GAGAGAGAGAGAGAGAGAGAGAGAGAGAGAGAGAGAGGCUUAACCACGUUGCCCGUCCUCAUACAUCCCUCUGCAGCUGUGUGAGGCAGAGUGAGCGGAGGAGAGGCGGGAGCACAUCUGAGUCCCGUGGAAACAGCAGGACCACGUACCACUUGGCCGAGAGAUCGAUGCACUUACGCCAAGCCACACAGGGAGGGUGAGUGGCCCGUAGGACGUCCGCGUACUGCCACAGAGAGAGAAAGCGAGUGAGCGAGGAGCCAGAGGGACAGCGAGAGGGAAGAAGAUUACCCAAGGCCAAUUUGAAAGCUUUCAUCUGGUCACUCGGAGCAGCUGUUUGCCUCUUCUGUCUGAACACACUGAUGUCCUGGCAGCUGUUGCACAGCAAGAAGAAGAGGUAAGAAGGAUCUGGUCCACAGUGUUCAUUAUUGUAUCAAAGUCAGGGGAAGGUAGAAGAGAGCAGUCUGGUCCGUGUCUCCUUUUUGUGGCUUAUGUGCGUAACGGAAAGCACAACCAACAGAGAUCAUCUGCCGAACAACGUUGUGUUCAGCAGCUUGUCAAAGAGCAAAUGAUAUUGUUCCCUGUACAGUGUGAAUUGCUUUAAACAGCUUCUUCCAUUAGAAAGUCAGCUGUUGAGCAAAUGAGUCACGUGUCAGAGCUUUCUGCUAAUGAAUAGAAUAGUAAUGAGCAAAGCAAACUUUUCACAGCCAAUCUGUGAACGAGGUUUAAUAUGCGAAACACAGUUGCACCAUAUUUACCUCUGAACAUGUUGAAUAUAAGUAUGAAUUUCUUCACCAACAUGUGUCUGAAGUAACCGACACUGCUUGCAUUGAGAAAAGGACUUGUCUGCUCAUCCGUCAAAGCAUCCAUGAAACUGACUAACUGACGCUCUCUGAACUCGACUCCAGUCGGGGAACAGGAUUUAAAAGAGAAGAAAAAAACAAAAAAACGCAUGAAUUUAAAUGAGGCUCUGUUGCAGCCAUGGAGGCCACA